GCCUUGAUCCCCAUUUGGGUACAGAUGCAGUCGCCAGAUUCUUGUGGACCCACAGACUGAGCUGACACUCAAAGUCCUCCAAACACAGAACUCACUCUUGGUGACCUGUGUGGACGGACACCAUUGGGCAUCAGAGAAAACUCAACAGACCCACACACAGGCCUUGGAUUUCAAAGUCUCCUGGAUCUUGUGUAUAUGCCCCGAAAAACCAUGGGACCUGGAAGAUGACAUGGGAAAGGGACUCAAAGUAGGAGUCAAAUCAUCUAGAGAAGACACCAAGCUGUGUCCCUGGGAUCUGUAAAUGAACACGUUCCUAGAGAAGAUGGAAAAUUUUCAGAGGGAGAGUUGAACAUACCUACUACAUCCCAGAAGGAUAGCUCAUCAGGCUACUAUGUCUCUCGGUGACAUCGUUUUUUUCCACCCACAUGGCCCUAAGGGUGAGGUCAUGAGAUGAGGUGGUCUUUUCCUGUCCUGGCUUUAUGAGUGUUACAUGAAGAAUAAUGACCUCCAAAGACAUCCAUGGCCUGAUCCCCUCAGCCUGCAGCCAUCACCCUCUCUACCAUGUCUCUUGUCAAUGUGAAUUAGUCAAAGAUCUUGAGAUGGAGGUAUUCUAGAAGAUCAGGUGGGAUCUAAAUACA